rnacentral:rRNA from 1 species
CGGGACGGGUGAGUAAUGUCUGGGAAACUGCCUGAUGGAGGGGGAUAACUACUGGAAACGGUAGCUAUACCGCAUAACGUCGCAAGACCAAAGAGGGGGACCUUCGGGCCUCUUGUCAUCGGAUGUGCCCAGAUGGGAUUAGCUAGUAGGUGGGGUAACGGCUCACCUAGGCGACGAUCCCUAGCUGGUCUGAGAGGAUGACCAGCCACACUGGAACUGAGACACGGUCCAG